rnacentral:rRNA from 1 species
GCGGGUAUCGACCCCUGCUGUGCCGUAGCUAACGCGUUAAGUAUUCCGCCUGGGGAGUACGGCCGCAAGGCUAAAACUCAAAGAAAUUGACGGGGGCCCGCACAAGCGGUGGAGCAUGUGGUUUAAUUCGAUGCAACGCGCAGAACCUCACCUGGGCUUGAAAUCCUCUGAUCGCCAUAGAGAUAUGGUUUUCCACUUCGGUGGACAGAGUGACAGGUGCUGCAUGGCUGUCGUCAGCUCGUGUCGUGAGAUGUCAGGUUAAGUCCUAUAACGAGCGCAACCCUUGUUGCUAGUUGCCAGCAUUAAGUUGGGCACUCUAGUGAGACUGCCGGUGUCAAACCGGAGGAAGGUGGGGAUGACGUCAAGUCCUCAUGGCCCUUAUGCCCAGGGCUACACACGUGCUACAAUGAUCGGUACAAAGAGCAGCUAACUCGCGAGAGCAUGCAAAUCUCAAAAAACCGACCUCAGUACGGAUUGGAGUCUGCAACUCGACUCCAUGAAGGUGGAAUCGCUAGUAAUCGUAGAUCAGCAUGCUACGGUGAAUACGUUCCCGGGCCUUGUACACACCGCCCGUCACACCAUGGGAGUUGACUACUCCAGAAGUCGUUGAGCUAACCCGCAAGGGAGGCAGGCGCCCAAGGAGUGGUUGGUAACUGGGGUGAAGUCGUAAACAAGGUAGCCG